UGUUUCGGCAAGGGGGUCAUCCCGACUUACCAACCCGAUGCAAACUGCGAAUACCGGAGAAUGUUAUCACGGGAGACACACGGCGGGUGCUAACGUCCGUCGUGAAGAGGGAAACAACCCAGACCGCCAGCUAAGGUCCCAAAGUCAUGGUUAAGUGGGAAACGAUGUGGGAAGGCCCAGACAGCCAGGAUGUUGGCUUAGAAGCAGCCAUCAUUUAAAGAAAGCGUAAUAGCUCACUGGUCGAGUCGGCCUGCGCGGAAGAUGUAACGGGGCUAAACCAUGCACCGAAGCUGCGGCAGCGACGCUUAUGCGUUGUUGGGUAGGGGAGCGUUCUGUAAGCCUGCGAAGGUGUGCUGUGAGGCAUGCUGGAGGUAUCAGAAGUGCGAAUGCUGACAUAAGUAACGAUAAAGCGGGUGAAAAGCCCGCUCGCCGGAAGACCAAGGGUUCCUGUCCAACGUUAAUCGGGGCAGGGUGAGUCGACCCCUAAGGCGAGGCCGAAAGGCGUAGUCGAUGGGAAACAGGUUAAUAUUCCUGUACUUGGUGUUACUGCGAAGGGGGGACGGAGAAGGCUAUGUUGGCCGGGCGACGGUUGUCCCGGUUUAAGCGUGUAGGCUGGUUUUCCAGGCAAAUCCGGAAAAUCAAGGCUGAGGCGUGAUGACGAGGCACUACGGUGCUGAAGCAACAAAUGCCCUGCUUCCAGGAAAAGCCUCUAAGCAUCAGGUAACAUCAAAUCGUACCCCAAACCGACACAGGUGGUCAGGUAGAGAAUACCAAGGCGCUUGAGAGAACUCGGGUGAAGGAACUAGGCAAAAUGGUGCCGUAACUUCGGGAGAAGGCACGCUGAUAUGUAGGUGAAGUCCCUUGCGGAUGGAGCUGAAAUCAGUCGAAGAUACCAGCUGGCUGCAACUGUUUAUUAAAAACACAGCACUGUGCAAACACGAAAGUGGACGUAUACGGUGUGACGCCUGCCCGGUGCCGGAAGGUUAAUUGAUGGGGUCAGCGCAAGCGAAGCUCUUGAUCGAAGCCCCGGUAAACGGCGGCCGUAACUAUAACGGUCCUAAGGUAGCGAAAUUCCUUGUCGGGUAAGUUCCGACCUGCACGAAUGGCGUAAUGAUGGCCAGGCUGUCUCCACCCGAGACUCAGUGAAAUUGAACUCGCUGUGAAGAUGCAGUGUACCCGCGGCAAGACGGAAAGACCCCGUGAACCUUUACUAUAGCUUGACACUGAACAUUGAGCCUUGAUGUGUAGGAUAGGUGGGAGGCUUUGAAGUGUGGACGCCAGUCUGCAUGGAGCCGGCCUUGAAAUACCACCCUUUAAUGUUUGAUGUUCUAACGUGGACCCGUGAUCCGGGUUGCGGACAGUGUCUGGUGGGUAGUUUGACUGGGGCGGUCUCCUCCUAAAGAGUAACGGAGGAGCACGAAGGUUGGCUAAUCCUGGUCGGACAUCAGGAGGUUAGUGCAAUGGCAUAAGCCAGCUUGACUGCGAGCGUGACGGCGCGAGCAGGUGCGAAAGCAGGUCAUAGUGAUCCGGUGGUUCUGAAUGGAAGGGCCAUCGCUCAACGGAUAAAAGGUACUCCGGGGAUAACAGGCUGAUACCGCCCAAGAGUUCAUAUCGACGGCGGUGUUUGGCACCUCGAUGUCGGCUCAUCACAUCCUGGGGCUGAAGUAGGUCCCAAGGGUAUGGCUGUUCGCCAUUUAAAGUGGUACGCGAGCUGGGUUUAGAACGUCGUGAGACAGUUCGGUCCCUAUCUGCCGUGGGCGCUGGAGAACUGAGGGGGGCUGCUCCUAGUACGAGAGGACCGGAGUGGACGCAUCACUGGUGUUCGGGUUGUCAUGCCAAUGGCACUGCCCGGUAGCUAAAUGCGGAAGAGAUAAGUGCUGAAAGCAUCUAAGCACGAAACUUGCCCCGAGAUGAGUUCUCCCUGACCCUUUAAGGGUCCUGAAGGAACGUUGAAGACGACGACGUUGAUAGGCCGGGUGUGUAAGCGCAGCGAUGCGUUGAGCUAACCGGUACUAAUGAACCGUGAGG
rnacentral:rRNA from 1 species